rnacentral:rRNA from 1 species
UACGUAGGGGGUAAGCGUUGUCCGGAUUUAUUGGGCGUAAAGAGCGUGUAGGCGGUUUGGUAGGUCCGCUGUGAAAACUCGAGGCUCAACCUCGAGACGCCGGUGGAAACCAUCAGACUAGAGUCCGGAAGAGGAGAGUGGAAUUCCUGGGGUAGCGGUGAAAUGCGCAGAUAUCAGGAAGAACACCCGUGGCUAAGGCGGCUUCCUGGCCUGUAACUGACGCUGAGACGCGAAAGCGUGGGGAGCGAACCGG